GAUGAACGCUGGCGGCGUGCUUAACACAUGCAAGUCGAACGGAAAGGCUCCUGCUUGCAGGGGUGCUCGAGUGGCGAACGGGUGAGUAACACGUGGGUGAUCUGCCCUGCACUUCGGGAUAAGCCUGGGAAACUGGGUCUAAUACCGGAUAGGCCGAUGGUUUGGAUGCCAUUGUGGAAAGUUUUUGCGGUGUGGGAUGAGCUCGCGGCCUAUCAGCUUGUUGGUGGGGUAAUGGCCUACCAAGGCGUCGACGGGUAGCCGGCCUGAGAGGGUGUACGGCCACAUUGGGACUGAGAUACGGCCCAGACUCCUACGGGGGACAGCAGUGGGGAAUAUUGCACAAUGGGCGCAAGCCUGAUGCAGCGACGCCGCGGGGGGGAUGACGGCCUGCGGGUUGUAAACUCCUUUCGCUAGGGACGAAGCGCAAGUGACGGUACCGGGAGAAGAAGCACCGGCUAACUACGUG
rnacentral:rRNA from 1 species